AAAUUGAAGAGUUUGAUCAUGGCUCAGAUUGAACGCUGGCGGCAGGCCUAACACAUGCAAGUCGAACGGUAACAGGAAGCAGCUUGCUGUUUCGCUGACGAGUGGCGGACGGGUGAGUAAUGUCUGGGAAACUGCCUGAUGGAGGGGGAUAACUACUGGAAACGGUGGCUAAUACCGCAUAACGUCGCAAGACCAAAGAGGGGGACCUUCGGGCCUCUUGCCAUCAGAUGUGCCCAGAUGGGAUUAGCUUGUUGGUGAGGUAACGGCUCACCAAGGCGACGAUCCCUAGCUGGUCUGAGAGGAUGACCAGCCACACUGGAACUGAGACACGGUCCAGACUCCUACGGGAGGCAGCAGUGGGGAAUAUUGCACAAUGGGCGCAAGCCUGAUGCAGCCAUGCCGCGUGUAUGAAGAAGGCCUUCGGGUUGUAAAGUACUUUCAGCGGGGAGGAAGGUGUUGUGGUUAAUAACCGCAGCAAUUGACGUUACCCGCAGAAGAAGCACCGGCUAACUCCGUGCCAGCAGCCGCGGUAAUACGGAGGGUGCAAGCGUUAAUCGGAAUUACUGGGCGUAAAGCGCACGCAGGCGGUCUGUCAAGUCGGAUGUGAAAUCCCCGGGCUCAACCUGGGAACUGCAUUCGAAACUGGCAGGCUUGAGUCUUGUAGAGGGGGGUAGAAUUCCAGGUGUAGCGGUGAAAUGCGUAGAGAUCUGGAGGAAUACCGGUGGCGAAGGCGGCCCCCUGGACAAAGACUGACGCUCAGGUGCGAAAGCGUGGGGAGCAAACAGGAUUAGAUACCCUGGUAGUCCACGCCGUAAACGAUGUCUACUUGGAGGUUGUGCCCUUGAGGCGUGGCUUCCGGAGCUAACGCGUUAAGUAGACCGCCUGGGGAGUACGGCCGCAAGGUUAAAACUCAAAUGAAUUGACGGGGGCCCGCACAAGCGGUGGAGCAUGUGGUUUAAUUCGAUGCAACGCGAAGAACCUUACCUGGUCUUGACAUCCACAGAACUUUCCAGAGAUGGAUUGGUGCCUUCGGGAACUGUGAGACAGGUGCUGCAUGGCUGUCGUCAGCUCGUGUUGUGAAAUGUUGGGUUAAGUCCCGCAACGAGCGCAACCCUUAUCCUUUGUUGCCAGCGAUUAGGUCGGGAACUCAAAGGAGACUGCCAGUGAUAAACUGGAGGAAGGUGGGGAUGACGUCAAGUCAUCAUGGCCCUUACGACCAGGGCUACACACGUGCUACAAUGGCGCAUACAAAGAGAAGCGACCUCGCGAGAGCAAGCGGACCUCAUAAAGUGCGUCGUAGUCCGGAUUGGAGUCUGCAACUCGACUCCAUGAAGUCGGAAUCGCUAGUAAUCGUGGAUCAGAAUGCCACGGUGAAUACGUUCCCGGGCCUUGUACACACCGCCCGUCACACCAUGGGAGUGGGUUGCAAAAGAAGUAGGUAGCUUAACCUUCGGGAGGGCGCUUACCACUUUGUGAUUCAUGACUGGGGUGAAGUCGUAACAAGGUAACCGUAGGGGAACCUGCGGUUGGAUCACCUCCUUA
rnacentral:rRNA from 1 species